rnacentral:tRNA from 1 species
GCGGUAAUAGCUCAGUUGGGAGAGCAUUAGACUGAAGAUCUAAGUGUCCCUGGUUCGACCCGGGUUACCGCA